rnacentral:rRNA from 1 species
CACGUAGGGGGCGAGCGUUGUCCGGAUUUAUUGGGCGUAAAGAGCUCGUAGGCGGUUCGGCAAGUCGGGUGUGAAAUUUCGAGGCUCAACCUCGAAACGCCACUCGAUACUGCUGUGACUGGAGUCCGGUAGAGGAGUGCGGAAUUCCUGGUGUAGCGGUGAAAUGCGCAGAUAAUCGAGGAGGAACACCAACGGCGAAGGCAGCACUCUGGGCCGGUACUGACGCUGAGGAGCGAAAGCGUGGGGAGCAAACAGG